GAUGAACGCUGGCGGCGUGCCUAAUACAUGCAAGUCGAGCGAACAGACGAGGAGCUUGCUCCUCUGACGUUAGCGGCGGACGGGUGGGUAACACGUGGAUAACCUACCUAUAAGACUGGGAUAACUUCGGGAAACCGGAGCUAAUACCGGAUAAUAUAUUGAACCGCAUGGUUCAAUAGUGAAAGACGGUUUUGCUGUCACUUAUAGAUGGAUCCGCGCCGCAUUAGCUAGUUGGUAAGGUAACGGCCUACCAAGGCAACGAUGCGUAGCCGACCUGAGAGGGUGAUCGGCCACACUGGAACUGAGACACGGUCCAGACUCCUACGGGAGGCAGCAGUAGGGAAUCUUCCGCAAUGGGCGAAAGCCUGACGGAGCAACGCCGCGUGAGUGAUGAAGGUCUUCGGAUCGUAAAACUCUGUUAUUAGGGAAGAACAAAUGUGUAAGUAACUAUGCACGUCUUGACGGUACCUAAUCAGAAAGCCACGGCUAACUACGUG
rnacentral:rRNA from 1 species